UGGGGAAUAUUGCACAAUGGGCGCAAGCCUGAUGCAGCCAUGCCGCGUGUAUGAAGAAGGCCUUCGGGUUGUAAAGUACUUUCAGUCGGGAGGAAGGUGUCAAGGUUAAUAACCUUGGCAAUUGACGUUACCGACAGAAGAAGCACCGGCUAACUCCGUGCCAGCAGCCGCGGUAAUACGGAGGGUGCAAGCGUUAAUCGGAAUUACUGGGCGUAAAGCGCACGCAGGCGGUUGAUUGAGUCAGAUGUGAAAUCCCCGGGCUUAACCCGGGAAUUGCAUCUGAUACUGGUCAGCUAGAGUCUUGUAGAGGGGGGUAGAAUUCCAUGUGUAGCGGUGAAAUGCGUAGAGAUGUGGAGGAAUACCGGUGGCGAAGGCGGCCCCCUGGACGAAGACUGACGCUCAGGUGCGAAAGCGUGGGGAGCAAACAGG
rnacentral:rRNA from 1 species